rnacentral:rRNA from 1 species
GACGAACGCUGGCGGCGUGCUUAACACAUGCAAGUCGAGCGGAGCGGCGAACGGGUGAGUAACGCGUGAGUAACUGCCCCCCUCUCUGGGAUAACAGUUGGAAACGGCUGCUAAUACCGGAUAGUGGGGGAUGACUCGCGUCCUAUCAGCUUGUUGGUUGGGUAGUGGCCUAAAAAGGCGACGACGGGUAGCCGGCCUGGGAGGGCGACCGGCCACAUUGGGCUGGGUUACGGGCCAAACUCCUACGGGAGGCAGCAGUGGAGAAUAUUGCACAAUGGGGGGAACCCUGGUGCAGCAACGCCGCGUGCGGGAUGCCGGCCUUCGGGUUGUAAACCGCUUUCAGCCAUGACUGGGUAGUAGCAGAAGAAGCACCGGCUAACUACGUGCCAGCAGCCGCGGUAAUU